UACGUAGGGUGCAAGCGUUGUCCGGAAUUAUUGGGCGUAAAGAGCUCGUAGGCGGUUCGUCGCGUCGGCUGUGAAAUCCCGAGGCUCAACCUCGGGUCUGCAGUCGAUACGGGCGGACUGGAGUUCGGCAGGGGAGACUGGAAUUCCUGGUGUAGCGGUGAAAUGCGCAGAUAUCAGGAGGAACACCGGUGGCGAAGGCGGGAUCUCUGGGCCGAUACUGACGCUGAGGAGCGAAAGCGUGGGGAGCGAACAGG
rnacentral:rRNA from 1 species